rnacentral:misc_RNA from 1 species
GAUGAAGAACGUAGCGAAAUGCGAUACUUGGUGUGAAUUGCAGAAUCCCGUGAACCAUCGAGUCUUUGAACGCAAGUUGCGCCCGAAGCCAUUAGGCCGAGGGCACGCCUGCCUGGGUGUCACACACCGUUACCCUCGCGCCAACGUCCAUCGUUGGCCGCGGCGCGGGGCGUGUGCUGACCUCCCGCGAGCGGGGUCUCGGGGUUGGUUGAAAAUCGAGAUCGCGGUCGAGGGUGCCGUGAUGAAAUGGUGGAUGGGCGACGCCCGAGGCCAAUCACGCGCGACUCUGUCCGGCUCGGAAUCCUGGACCCCUUCGGCGUCUCCGGACGCUCUUUGGCGAGACCUCAGGUCAGGCGGGGCUACCCGCUGAGUUUAAGCAUAUCAAUAAGCGGAGGA